CCCUGUAAGCGGCAAUGCCUUCCUCAGAAGUAAGUAGGGGAGUGGUCGAUACAGUUCUAUGCAGUUUUGACUGUGACAAAAUCAUUGGUGAUUUAAGUGCUCUGAAGAUUGCUAAAAUCCUCCGAAGGUAUUGCAAGGUUAUAGGCAUGUACUUCGCUUCAAGGCUUAUGGUCGGUUCAUCACAUCCAUGAAAAUAAUUAGAUGCAACUCAAAAUUCCUUUGAAAUAUCAGUCAGUUCUUGAGUUACCUCGAUAAAACCAAAAAGAAAACCAAGAUUCAAUUAUUAUUGAUUUACUAUUACAGAUUGCUAAAGUCAAAUUAGUGUUGAAACCCAUAAACACAGCCACCUAACAGAGCUUUAAGAAUUUUCCGUCAAUAAAAGCAUAGUUUUAUUGGGCUAGAUUGCGAGUGUAUUGUUUUCAAAUAGCAGUUGUAAGGCUACAGUUUAGACUUGUUAAACCGUUCGCCUUUUCCUUACUCCUUCAGCGACCGACCUUCAGUGUUAUUAGUGCAUUAUUUAGAAGACUCGUUCAUAAGCAUGUUAUUGUGGAUUGUUUAAGUAAAUUAGGAUCGCAAAUUAGAAAUAGAGUUGUUCUUAUGUUUAAAAGUUUGGGCUCCUGAAACCAAUACACAAGGUUAAAUUCUUGUUUGUUUAUUAGACUCACGAAAGCAUUUCAGUUUUAAUAUAGUUUGUGUUUGUGAAUUGGCAAGGAAGCAGCUUUGAGAAUGUUCAAGAUAUCUGAAGCAAAUAAUGCCUAGUUGGAGAAAUUUUUACUUUGUAUAAAAACUUUAUUCUGAUAAUGGAUUUAUGACAGAUUUAGAAAUAAAGAUAAAUCUAAUUUUAGUGACAGGAACAUUUGCACCAAAACCACUUUGAUUGUAUCAAAUUAUUUUAUGAAUGUGUUGAGAUGCUUUGUGUCAAAACGAAUUUGUAUGGUAACUACGGGACUUGCACAUCGACAAGGAAAUUGAAAAAUGGAUGUACUAUUCGACAGAAGUCAACUGAUGAACAAGCAAAUCUGGGAGUCUGUGCAUCCAUUGGAUCCACAGUUUGCAAUAAUUUUUAGGCUAAUUUGAACAAGACACCAAUCGCACUUUGGAAUUCGUGGAGCAUCUGCUGUGAAGGAAGAUUGUGAACUUGAAGAAAUUGUCACAUAUCUAUUGAGCAAAUGUGUGUAACGUGGCCCUGUGUAGUGGUUAAGAGUUAAGUACAUAUCACUAAUAACUGAGAUGAACUGAAAAUAAAUGGUCCUAUAUAUUAGCAUAAAUUUUGGCCAGAGCCAUCAUAUGGAUUAUAGAGGGUAUAAUCUUACCUUCUUUCACUAUUUAAGCCAGGAUGGGGUCAAGUUUUUAGUGUUGAGGAAGAGUUAGUUUAUCAGGGUCAUAACAGUGCCUGUUGACCUCAGGUCAAGUGAAGUUCUGCUUUGUGUCUUGUAAAGUGUCAUAUGAAGUCUUAAUUUAUUAGUUCAACCUGUUGCUGAUUCAGUAUUUAAGGAUAUAUCUCUCACAUUCACAUCUUCUCAAUUUAAUGGUAUCCAUCAUGGAAUUCAUUAUUAUUUAGGGCACAUAUAUUUUUUAUACUUAAUA